rnacentral:sRNA from 1 species
CGCCUCGGCUCGGGCGGAGAGCCCAGCGUGGCUGGGGCUGCGCGAGUCGAGCGGGGCGGGCUUGGUCCGGAGCUGCGGGAUGGAGAUCCCGGGCGGCACCGCACUCACUUCUUUUUCUGUUUUUGACAGCUCAGUUCUCUUCUACUUUGGGAGAGAGAGAAAGUCAGAUGCCCCUUUUAAACUCCCUCUUCAAAACUCAUCUCCUGGGUGACUGACUACUUAGAAGAUGAACUGUUCUCAUCAGCAACAUGCUAUUGUGUCAUCUUUUAGGACUAGGUAAUGCUCCAGUGACUUAAUACCAAUGACAUUUUCAUGUUGUCCACAAAUUCUGAGUAGAAACAUUUUCAAGCCUGUAGCCUCUCUGAGAGCUGACUGUUAUUAACUGAAUGAGAGGAUGUCAGCAAACAGAGUUAAUAGAGUGGAUACAACCUUGCUGAAGAUGAAGAAUAUACAAUAUUGAGGAUUUUUUUUCUUUUUUUUUUCAAGUCUUGAUUUGUGGCUUACCUCAAGUUACCACUUUUCAGUCAAGUCUGUUUGUUUGCUUCUUCAGAAAUGUUUUUUACAAUCUCAAGAAAAAAUAUGUCCCAGAAAUUGAGUUUACUGUUGCUUGUAUUUGGACUCAUUUGGGGAUUGAUGUUACUGCACUAUACUUUUCAACAACCAAGACAUCAAAGCAGUGUCAAGUUACGUGAGCAAAUACUAGACUUAAGCAAAAGAUAUGUUAAAGCUCUAGCAGAGGAAAAUAAGAACACAGUGGAUGUCGAGAACGGUGCUUCUAUGGCAGGAUAUGCGGAUC